AUUGAACGCUGGCGGCAGGCCUAACACAUGCAAGUCGAGCGGUGCGGCGGACGGGCGAGUAAUACCUAGGUAUCUGCCCGGCCGUGGGGGCUAACGUUCGGUAACGGACGCUAAUACCGCAUACUUCUUGAUGAGCCUAGGUCGGAUUAGCUAGUUGGUGAGGUAAUGGCUCACCAAGGCUACGAUCCGUAACUGGUCUGAGAGGAUGAUCAGUCACACUGGAACUGAGACACGGUCCAGACUCCUACGGGAGGCAGCAGUGGGGAAUAUUGGACAAUGGGCGAAAGCCUGAUCCAGCCAUGCCGCGUGUGUGAAGAAGGUCUUCGGAUUGUAAAGCACUUUAAGUUGGGAGGCGUUACCGACAGAAUAAGCACCGGCUAACUCUGUGCCAGCAGCCGCGGUAAUAC
rnacentral:rRNA from 1 species